rnacentral:rRNA from 1 species
AAUGAGAGUUUGAUCCUGGCUCAGGAUGAACGCUGGCGGCGUGCCUAAUACAUGCAAGUCGAACGAACUUCCGUUAAUUGAUUAUGACGUACUUGUACUGAUUGAGAUUUUAACACGAAGUGAGUGGCGAACGGGUGAGUAACACGUGGGUAACCUGCCCAGAAGUAGGGGAUAACACCUGGAAACAGAUGCUAAUACCGUAUAACAGAGAAAACCGCAUGGUUUUCUUUUAAAAGAUGGCUCUGCUAUCACUUCUGGAUGGACCCGCGGCGUAUUAGCUAGUUGGUGAGGUAAAGGCUCACCAAGGCAGUGAUACGUAGCCGACCUGAGAGGGUAAUCGGCCACAUUGGGACUGAGACACGGCCCAGACUCCUACGGGAGGCAGCAGUAGGGAAUCUUCCACAAUGGACGCAAGUCUGAUGGAGCAACGCCGCGUGAGUGAAGAAGGGUUUCGGCUCGUAAAGCUCUGUUGUUAAAGAAGAACGUGGGUAAGAGUAACUGUUUACCCAGUGACGGUAUUUAACCAGAAAGCCACGGCUAACUACGUGCCAGCAGCCGCGGUAAUACGUAGGUGGCAAGCGUUAUCCGGAUUUAUUGGGCGUAAAGCGAGCGCAGGCGGUCUUUUAAGUCUAAUGUGAAAGCCUUCGGCUCAACCGAAGAAGUGCAUUGGAAACUGGGAGACUUGAGUGCAGAAGAGGACAGUGGAACUCCAUGUGUAGCGGUGAAAUGCGUAGAUAUAUGGAAGAACACCAGUGGCGAAGGCGGCUGUCUGGUCUGCAACUGACGCU